rnacentral:rRNA from 1 species
AACGAACGCUGGCGGCAGGCCUAACACAUGCAAGUCGAGCGAAGCCUUCGGGCUUAGCGGCGGACGGGUGAGUAACGCGUGGGAACGUGCCCUUUGGUACGGAAUAGCCCCGGGAAACUGGGAGUAAUACCGUAUGUGGUCGAGAGACGAAAGAUUUAUCGCCAAAGGAUCGGCCCGCGUUGGAUUAGGUAGUUGGGUGGGUAAUGGCCUACCAAGCCGACGAACCAUAGCUGGUUUGAGAGGAUGAUCGGCCACACUGGGACUGAGACACGGCCCAGACUCCUACGGGAGGCAGCAGUGGGGAAUCUUAGACAAUGGGGGAAACCCUGAUCUAGCCAUGCCGCGUGAUCGAUGAAGGCCUUAGGGUUGUAAAGAUCUUUCAGUGGGGAAGAUAAUGGCUGUACCCACAGAAGAAGCCCCGGCUAACUCCGUGCCAGCAGCCGCCGUAAGAC